AUGCCAAGGUGUGAAAGGUAAUAUUGUGACACCAUUUUGCCUAUUCCAGAAAAUGUAACAAAUGUAUGGCUGGUUCUUGACCUAAAAAUGCUGGCAUUGGUCACCAAGUGCUAGGGUGAUUCUUGACAAAAAAUGUUCGUAUUGUUCAGAACAAUGAUUUACAACUUCAGAUUGGCCAUCCAGUUAACGAUGAUAAUCACUUGUUUUACAAAGUUCAGUGUCAUAAAAGCAAAAUAAUUUUGUCAACAAAUAUGCGGAUAACUUUAUCAUAAUUACUACUUAUGGAAGUUAAGGAUAAGUUGGGUAAUGUGAGAAAGUUUUGGUCAGAGGAUAUGAGGAUAAAUUUGUUGCAAUUGCUAAGCUUCACCUCCUAGGACUACUAGGAGAAACGUAUGAGCAAUAGAACAAAUUUACAGUCCAUCCCCAUUAGCUGCAUGGAGAGGUUGGGCUUAUUGCUGCUAUGGUGGAGGUCACCUUCUUGUAGACUUUGAAAUCUGCGAAUGAAGAGGCAGAUUUCUUAGAGGAAUUGGUAGGACUCCAAGCCCCCCAAAUGACAGGGGGGUGGGGAGGAUGGGGGUGGUGGGGGGCCAUUUCUAAUUUCAUGUCUUCUCAAUGUGGAUUUGAGGUUUAACGAGAUUUUUGGGAAAUCAUUAAGGUUAAAAGUAAUUGAAAGAGUGUGUCUGUGGAGAGCAAGAGGGGGAAAUGUUUGGUUCCCAACUGGGGUUGCUUCAUCUGACCGUUAAUCUCACAGCAAACACCGACGGAGCGUUGUUGUUGGAGGCUUCCAGGUUCUCUGAUCAAUUCUCUUGUUCUUUGUUUUCUUUGGGGAAGCGGGAAACCUCUCUUUCUUCUAUUCCUUCUGGGCGGGAUGGGGAAGGUGUUGCCAUUGCCAGGGUUUCCGAUCAGGGCAGUGGUUUAGAAGCCGUAGGGGGAGCUGUUAUGGGCCCGUUAAGGAUGAUAUUGGCGGAUGGGAGGGAGGCCGAGGUCUCAAAUUUGGCGGGUAGGGAGUUUGGGACUUUCGAGGAGGCGUCAGAGGGGGUUUCGAAAAGGGUCUCCCAAGAGGAUGAAGAAGAGAGGGACAAAGAGGGGGAACUGUGUUGGCAUUCUAGUAGCUUGGCUAAGUUCAGCCGCUAUCUUGGAAUGCCGAUGGAGGGCUUCGAAGGGGAAAUUUUGUUUUUGCUUAAAAGAAUGAAAGAGAAGAAACUUCAAAAAGGAAAGUUGAAUGGCAGAAAAAGGAAAAAAUUGGAGUCAUCAAAAUUCGAAAUAGAAUUGAGAAAGUUGGAAUGGACAGUGAAUUAUCUUGGAGGAGGAGGAGGAGAGGGGGGGGAAGUACGAGCAGGUCUAAAUGAAGCUCCGACUGCUCACUUGGAAUGUAAGAGUGACCAAUAAUUGUGAUAAGAGGAAGGUGAUCAAAGCGUUGAUAAAGAAGAAUAGGGUGGAUCUGGUUUGCCUAUAGGAAACCAAGAUUUAGGAAAUGUCAAUGGGCAUUAUCCGUAGCUAAGGAGUGGGAAGAUUCCUUGAAUGGGGAGCUGUAGAUUCAAGGGCACAGCUGGAGGUAUAGUGGUGUUUUGGGAUAACAGGGUGUUGGAUUUGGUUGACCUUCAAAAAGGAUUGUUCUCUAUUUCUUGCACUUUUAAGAGUUGCGAGGACGGUUUCAUAUGGACGUUUACAAGGGUUUAUGGCCCAACAUUGAGGAGGAAUAGGGAGAGUUUUUGGGAGGAGUUGGGGGCCAUUAAGGGGCUUUGGAAUGGGCCGUGGUGUGUUGUAGGGGAUUUUAAUGCCAUUCUAAGUCCGGAAGAGCGCAACAGAGGAGGGAGCUUGAAUUCAAACAUGAGAAGGUUCUCAGAAGUUAUAGAAGAUCCAGAGUUAAAGGAUCUGCCUAUGGUUGGGGGUCCUUUUACUUGGAUUGGAGGGGUGAAUAACCAGUCUUUUUCAAGGCUGGAUCGUUUUUUGGUUAAUGAGGGGUGGGACAGUCAUUUUGGUGAUGCGAGGCAGUUUGUUCUACCAAGACCUGUGUCCGAUCACUUUCCGGUUCUUCUGGACGGAGGGGGCCUGAGAAGAGGCCCUUCCCCAUUUAGAUUUGAGAAUAUGUGGCUGAAACUGGAAGGUGUUAAGGACCUUUUGAAGCAUUGGUGGGAGGAAGGUAGCUUCAGUGGAUCCCCAAGUUUUAUCUUGGCCGAAAAACUAAAAUUUAUGAAGGCUAAGCUGAAGAAGUGGAACAGAAACACAUUUGGUAGGGUUGAAUAUAGAAAGAAUUUGGCUUUGGAGCAGGUGGAGUUUUGGGAUACCAAGGAGAAAAUUAGCAGACUGUUGUUGGAAGAGCUGGAAGCUAGAAAAGAAGCGAGGGAAGAUUAUAAAAAAUGGGUCUUACUUGAAGAAAUCACGUGGAGGCAAAAAUCUAGGGAAGUGUGGCUGAAAGAAGGGGAUAGAAAUACCGGUUUUUUCCACAAGAUGGCCAAUGCUCACAGGAGGAGGAAUAAUGUGGACAGAAUUAAGAUUAAUGGAGCCUAGCUUACAUAGGAGAAUGGAAUUAGGGAAGGGAUUGCCAAUGCUUUUAGGUUGUUGUUGUCCAAUCCGGGGGAAUGGCGCCCUUCUAUUUUCGAGCUGCAGUUUGAGACUUUGGAGCCUUUGGACGCUAGUGCCUUGGAGAUUCAUUUUUCGGAAGAGGAGGUCUUCGAUGCACUAUUGGGCUGUAAUGGGGAUAAAGCCCCGGGGCCAGAUGGAUUCUCUAUGACCUUUUGGCAAUUUGCUUGGGAUUUCGUGAAGGCUGAUGUGAUGUGUUUCUUCAAGGAGUUCAAUGAAAAUGGCAAAUUUGUUAAAAGCCUAAAUGCAACUUUUAUGGUCCUAAUCCCAAAAAAAGCAGGGGUUGAAGCCUUAGGGGAUUUUAGGCCUAUAAGCUUGGUGGGAAGCUUGUACAAGUGGCUGGCCAAGGUCUUAGCUAAUAGGCUAAAAAAGGUGGUUGGAAAGGUGGUCUCCAAGGCUCAAGGGGCGUUUGUGGAAGGUAGACAAAUCCUAGAUGCAGUGUUGAUAGCUAAUGAAGCCAUUGAUUUGGUUCUCAAGAAUAAUGAGAAUGGCAUUCUGUGCAAACUGGAUAUAGAGAAGGCGUAUGAUAACAUGGACUGGACUUUUAUUCUCACAGUUAUGCAGAAAAUGGGUUUUGGGGAAAAAUGGAUCAGGUGGAUUAAGUGGUGUAUAUCCACUGCAGGUUUCUCCGUGUUGGUCAAUGAAACCCCUACGGGUUUCUUCCAAAGCUCCAAGGGUUUGAGACAGGGUGAUCCCCUUUCCCCUUAUCUCUUUGUGAUAGUUAUGGAGGUCUUUAGUGCUUUUCUUAAAAGGGCUGUAGAGGGAGGUUUCUUAUCGGGUUGUAGGGUGAAGGGUAGGAGUGAAGAAGGGGUCCUAAUUUCCCACUUGUUGUUUGCUGAUGAUACACUGGUGUUCUGUAAACCUUCACAAGAUCAAUUGACUUAUCUCAGUUGGUUACUUAUGUGGUUUGAGGCCGUUUCGGGAUUGAGAAUAAAUUUGAAAAAAAGUGAACUCAUUCUAGUAGGGAGGGUAGAGAAUAUGGAUGAUCUUGCUUGGGAAUUUGGUUGUAGACUGGGUAGCCUUCCAACCACCUAUUUGGGGAUGCCCUUGGGUGCUCUUUUUAAGUCAGUUACAGUUUGGGAUGGUGUGGAAGAGCGCUUCUGAAGAAGGUUAGCCAUGUGGAAGAGACAAUAUUUAUCCAAGGGAGGAGGGCGACUCUUAUUCGAAGCAUGUUAUCGAAUUUACCCAUCUAUCUCAUGUCAUUGUUGUGCUUACCAAGCUCAAUUAGACGGAGAUUAGAGAAAAUCCAAAGGGACUUCCUUUGGGGUGCAAUUUGGAGCGAAAGCCUCAUUUAGUAAGAUGGGAGUUGGUGUGUUUAAGUAAGAAGAAAGGAGGUUUGGGGGUCAAAUGCCUUUCCAUUCUCAACAAGGCUCUUCUUGCUAAAUGGAAUUGGCGUUUUGCAAAUGAGAGAGAAGCUUUGUGGAAUCAAGUGAUUAGGGGGAAGUAUGGAGAAGAUAGAGGGGGUUGGUGCUCUCGGGAAGUGAGAGAGGCUCAUGGUAUGGGGUUGUGGAAAGGAAUAAGGAUGGAUUGAGAGUUGGUGAGCGAUAGGAUGGUUUUCAUUGUUAGUAAUGGGAGGAGGGUGAGAUUUUGAAGGGAUAGAUGGUGCGGGGAUUCUCCUUUGUGUAUGUCUUUUUCUUCUCUUUUUGAUUUGACUGUUGAAAAGAAAGCGUGGGUGGCAGAUUUUGGGACCCUUUGGCUAAGGGGGGUUUGGGGGGGGGGGGGGGGGUUGGAACCCCUGUUUUUAAGAGCUUUCAAUGAUUGGGAGGUAGAGGAGGCGGAAAGAUUUUUGCAGAGGCUUCAUGGUAAGAGAGUUAUUGAGGAUGUGGAGGAUAUGGUGUCUUGGACUGAAACUAAGAGUGGUAAAUUCUCGGUCAAGUCUCUUUAUGUUGCCCUUGAAGCGGGUUGUUCAUCUCUGUUUCCUUUAAGCUAUAUUUGGAAUGUGAAUGUGCAGCCCAAGAUUAGUUUCUUUACAUGGGAGGCUACGUGGGGCAAAGCCUUAACCUUGGAUAUGGUCCAGAAAAGAGGACGGGCAUUGGCAAAUAGAUGCUUUAUGUGUCUUGAGAAAGAGGAGACCAUAAACCAUCUGCUCCUUCAUUGUUCAAGAACAAGGGUGUUAUGGGAUCUACUUUUUACUUUAUUUGGGGUGUCUUGGGUAUUGCCUUCUUCAGUUAGAGAGACCCUUCUAAGCUGGAAUGGUUUUUUCGUGGGCAAAAAAUGCAAAAAGGCGUGGAGAGUUGCUCCUCUUUACAUUUUCUGGACGGUUUGGAAGGCGAGGAAUAGAUUGGCUUUCAAGGAUGAUAUGUUGUCAAUUUAGCAACUGAAACACUCUUUUAUCCUUUCUUUUUGGUCCGAGAUUAAGUUGUUUAUAGAUGAUUGCCCUCUAACUAUAGCUAAUUUUAUUGAUUGGUUGGGCUCUAAGUAGGAUUGGGUUGUUGGGCUAUCUUUGUUUUUUAGCCUUGUUGGAGGCGGGUGUAUAGGUAUUGUAUACCUUGAGUCACUUUUUUAGCGUUUCUUUUAUAUAUGAAAUCUUAUUUACUUAUCAAAAAAAAAAAAAAUGUAAUCGAAGACUUUCACAUUAAUGAGGUAAUGAAUAACCACUGAUACUUCUUCACCCCAAAGUUCCUUCACAAAAAUUUGGUAAGUGAAGAACCAUUUCUGAGUUGUGAAGCACCAAUUCCACCUUCAUUAUCUUGAUCUUUAGAAAGAGGGAUCCAACUUGAUUUGGGAUUUUAUACCUGUCAACCCAGUCACUAAUUUUUAGGAGAAUACUUCCAAUUUACCCUUGGGUUGCUUUAGAAAGUUUCUUAAUAGUGCCAUCUCUCUAGCUUAAGGGGCUUUUGUUAAUGGAAGGCAAAUACUAGAUGUGGUUAUCAUUAGUAAUGAAAUCCUAGACAAAUACUAGAUGUGGUUGUCAUUAGUAAUGAAAUCCUAGAUGAAAAAUUCUGUUCUAAGGACGAAGGGAUGGUUUUUAAAAUAGGUUUUGAGGAAGUUUAUGAUCACAUAGAUUGGGGUUUCAUGUAUGAUACAUACUUUGAAUAGGGAAGGCCUUGAACCUGGAUGGCACAAAGGGACUGGAUAUUUUGAGGUUGUUUUUCAAACUGCAGGCUCUUUAAUGGUGUUAUUGAAGCUGAGUGUUUAGCACUCGAGGAAGAUUCGGAUAUGGUUGUUUGCCUGGAUGUAAUGAACCUCCAUAUUGAAGGGGAUUCCUUUGUUAUUGUCUCAAAACCUUCUUUGAAGGCAAAGGUCCUUAGUGGAUUGCUCAUCAGAUGGGGUGGCUUCAUAAUCAUGCUAGAGACAUUGCUUGUUCUUCUCUAUUGAGGCCCAGAUCAGCUAGCCAGCUGGAGAAAGGGCCCAACGUGAACGCCUUCGGGACUUGGCUGUGUUUGAGAGGUUACAUGGAAAUCCUGGGAAAACAUCUCCAAGCCUUGCUGUCAAAAAGAAAGCCGUUCACACUCCAUCUCUCUCACUAGUUUUGCAGAACCAUUGCCACUAAGCACAUGCAGGCGUCAGAUGUGCGGCCACUUCCAGUGUU